AACGAACGCUGGCGGCAGGCCUAACACAUGCAAGUCGAGCGAGACCUUCGGGUCUAGCGGCGGACGGGUGAGUAACGCGUGGGAACGUGCCCCUUGGUACGGAAUAGCCCCGGGAAACUGGGAGUAAUACCGUAUAAGCUCUACGGAGGAAAGAUUUAUCGCCAAGGGAUCGGCCCGCGUUGGAUUAGGUAGUUGGUGGGGUAAAGGCCCACCAAGCCAACGAUCUGUAGCUGGUCUGAGAGGACGACCAGCCACACUGGGACUGAGACACGGCCCAGACUCCUACGGGAGGCAGCAGUGGGGAAUUUUGGACAAUGGGCGCAAGCCUGAUCCAGCAAUGCCGCGUGCAGGAAGAAGGCCUUCGGGUUGUAAACUGCUUUUGUACGGAACGAAACGGUCUGGGUUAAUACCCUGGGCUAAUGACGGUACCGUAAGAAUAAGCACCGGCUAACUACGUG
rnacentral:rRNA from 1 species